UACAGGAGGUCUCAAGCGUUGUUCGGAUUGCAUUGGGCGUAAAGGGUGCGUAGGCGGCGCGGUAAGUCGGGUGUGAAAUCUUGGAGCUUAACUCCGAAACUGCAUUCGAUACUGCCGUGCUCGAGGACUGGAGAGGAGACUGGAAUUUACGGUGUAGCGGUGAAAUGCGUAGAGUAUCGUGAAGGAAGACCAGUGACGAAGGCGGGUCUCGUGGA
rnacentral:rRNA from 1 species